rnacentral:rRNA from 1 species
CUGCGAAUGGCUCAUUAUAUAAGUUAUCGUUUAUUUGAUAAUACCUUACUACUUGGAUAACCGUGGUAAUUCUAGAGCUAAUACAUGCUAAAAAUCCCGACUUCGGAAGGGAUGUAUUUAUUAGAUUAAAAACCAAUGCCCUUCGGGGCUCACUGGUGAUUCAUGAUAACUCCUCGAAUCGCAUGGCCUUGCGCCGGCGAUGGUUCAUUCAAAUUUCUUCCCUAUCAACUUUCGAUGUUUGGGUAUUGGCCAAACAUGGUUGCAACGGGUAACGGAGGGUUAGGGCUCGACCCCGGAGAAGGAGCCUGAGAAACGGCUACUACAUCCAAGGAAGGCAGCAGGCGCGCAAAUUACCCAAUCCCGACACGGGGAGGUAGUGACAAUAAAUACUGAUACAGGGCUCUUUUGGGUCUUGUAAUUGGAAUGAGUACAAUUUAAAUCCCUUAACGAGGAACAAUUGGAGGGCAAGUCUGGUGCCAGCAGCCGCGGUAAUUCCAGCUCCAAUAGCGUAUAUUAAAGUUGUUGUGGUUAAAAAGCUCGUAGUUGAACCUUGGGCCUGGCUGGCCGGUCCGCCUCACCGCGUGUACUGGUCCGGCCGGGCCUUUCCCUCUGUGGAACCCCAUGCCCUUCACUGGGUGUGGCGGGGAAACAGGACUUUU